AUUGAACGCUGGCGGCAGGCCUAACGCAUGCAAGUCGAACGGUAACAGGAAGCAGCUUGCUGCUUCGCUGACGAGUGGCGGACGGGUGAGUAAUGUCUGGGAAACUGCCUGAUGGAGGGGGAUAACUACUGGAAACGGUAGCUAAUACCGCAUAAUGUCGCAAGACCAAAGAGGGGGACCUUCGGGCCUCUUGCCAUCGGAUGUGCCCAGAUGGGAUUAGCUUGUUGGUGGGGUAACGGCUCACCAAGGCGACGAUCCCUAGCUGGUCUGAGAGGAUGACCAGACACACUGGAACUGAGACACGGUCCAGACUCCUACGGGAGGCAGCAGUGGGGAAUAUUGCACAAUGGGCGCAAGCCUGAUGCAGCCAUGCCGCGUGUAUGAAGAAGGCCUUCGGGUUGUAAAGUACUUUCAGCGGGGAGGAAGGGAGUAAAGUUAAUACCUUUGCUCAUUGACGUUACCCGCAGAAGAAGCACCGGCUAACUCCGUGCCAGCAGCCGCCGUAA
rnacentral:rRNA from 1 species